ensembl:snRNA U6 U6 spliceosomal RNA
GUGCUCGCUUCGGCAGCACAUAUACGAUACAGAGAUUAGCAUGGUCCCUGUGCAAGGAUGACACGCAAAUUCGUGAAAAGUUAGCUGUGCUU